UAAAUACGAGACGCUACGGCGUCGAAGCAGUCGAUGUCAUACUUCCAAGAAAAGCUUGCAAUGUCAUAAACAAAUAAUGCCUGUACCAUAACCGACACAGGUGGGUAGGUAGAGUAUACUAAGGGGCGCGAGAUAACUCUCUCUAAGGAACUCGGCAAAAUGACUCCGUAACUUCGGGAGAAGGAGUGCCUUAUUUAUAAGGUUGCAAUAACAAGAUCCAAGCAACUGUUUAUCAAAAACACAGGUCUCCGCUAAGUCGUAAGACGAUGUAUGGGGGCUGACGCCUGCCCAGUGCCAGAAGGUUAAAGAAGUUGGUUAGCAUCCGCGAAGCUGAUAACUGAAGCCCUGGUGAACGGCGGCCGUAACAAUAACGGUCCUAAGGUAGCGAAAUUCCUUGUCGGGUAAGUUCCGACCCGCACGAAAGGCGUAAUGAUUUGGAUACUGUCUCGGAGAGGGACUCGGUGAAAUAGACUUGUCUGUGAAGAUGCGGACUACCUGCACCUGGACAGAAAGACCCUAUGAAGCUUUACUGUAACUUGAAAUUGAAAUUGGACUUUAUUUGCGCAGUAUAGGUGGGAGGCGUUGAGAAUAUUCUUGCGGGAAUAUUGGAGCCAUCAGUGAGAUACCACUCUUGUAAUGUUAGAUUUCUAACUUUGCAUCAUUAUCUGGUCAAAGAACAGUUUCAGGCGGGCAGUUUGACUGGGGCGGUCGCCUCCCAAACGGUAACGGAGGCGUACAAAGGUUUCCUCUGAACGGGUAGAAAUCGUAUCUAGAGUGUAAAGGCAUAAGGAAGCUUGACUGUGAGACCUACAAGUCGAGCAGGGACGAAAGUCGGUCUUAGUGAUCUGACGGUGCUGAGUGGAAAGGCCGUCACUCAACGGAUAAAAGUUACUCUAGGAUAACAGGCUGAUCUCCCCCAAGAGUUCACAUCGACGGGGAGGUUUGGCACCUCGAUGUCGGCUCAUCGCAUCCUGGGGCGGUAGUACGUCCCAAGGGUUGGGCUGUUCGCCCAUGAAAGCGGUACGCGAGCUGGGUUCAGAACGUCGUGAGACAGUUCGGUCCAUAUCCGGUGUAGGCGUUAGAAUAUUGAGAGGAGCCUUCUUUAGUACGAGAGGACCGAGAAGGACAUACCUCUGGUGUACCAGUUAUCGUGCCAACGGUAAACGCUGGGUAGCUAUGUAUGGAGAGGAUAACCGCUGAAAGCAUCUAAGUGGGAAGCCCACCUCAAGAUAAGUAUUCUCAC
rnacentral:rRNA from 1 species